GGCUUAGCCCACGGGCCAAAACUAGGGCCUUGACCCGGUUUGUGCCAUUUCCCCAUACUCCCGUUCCUCUUCCAAAGCUCCCGGCGGCGGCGGCUCGCAACCUCAUCCCGCCUCUACGACCGCCUCAUGGCCGCCGCCGCGUCACCCGGCACAGCGUACAAGCUCCUCCUCUCCUGCCCCGAAGGCCUCCCUCGAUCCCGAGUUUGUGUGAGGUUUGAUCCGUCCUUCGACCGGAUCCCCCACCCGGACGCAUCCCUGGAGGAGUCUAUAGGCGAGAUAUGGAAUCAAAGGCUCCAGCAGAACCCAUCGCUGUACAACGGAACGAAAUUUCGGUAUGGAGGGCAUGCCUUGCACCGCAGUGAUGAGUCAAAUCAGGAGUACUGUGUCUCACUUCAUUUGGGACUCACAGAUUAUAGGACAUUUGUUGGAACAAAUCUCAGUCCACUGUGGGAGAAAUUUUUGGUCCCCUCUCAAGAUGACUCUGUGUGUUGCCAACACAUGUCAAAUCCACUGGGAAAUGGUGCAAUCGUUGAAACAUCUGAUGAAAAAAUUAUUGUAUUGCAAAGGAGCAACAAUGUCGGCGAGUCUCCUGGACACUAUGUUUUUCCUGGAGGACAUUCUGAGCCACAAGAAGUUGGAAUCUUGGCUCAUCAAAAUGACGAAAAAGAUGUUGCUGGUCUCACUGAAAGAAUUUCUGAUGAAAUGUUUGAUGGAAUCAUCCGUGAAGUAGUUGAGGAAACCGGAGUUCCUGCUAGUUCACUGUUUUGCAGACAGAACCCAUUCUCAUUGGAGUUUCUCGACGAGAAACGAAUGUUAGGCCAGCAGCAUUCUUUUAUAUGAGAUGUAACAUUGAUUCCAGCGCCAUAACUGAGCUUUAUGCUAGAGCUCAAGAUGGUUAUGAAUCCACUAAGAUCUAUGCAGUAUCGGUGAAAGACUUACGAGAUAUGAGCCAGCGGUUGCCUGGUUGCCACCUAGGGGGUUUUGCUCUGUAUGAACUUAUGAGGAACGCUUCGGAAAGUUUGUGAACAAACCGAUAAUAGUCAUGGAGUCUUGCGGCCUUUGAACAAUCUUGUCCUACUGCUAGAUGCCAAGCAGUAUCAUAGCUUGUUUCGCAGGUGAAAUUCAUGGAAUCGUUCUCAUUGUGCCCAAACUGAUCUUUCUUCUGCAGAUAGACUGAGUUCUUCAGAGUUCACAUGGAAAGAAAAUCGAUAAAGAUUACUGAGAUUCAGAUUAAAGAUGAUCAAGACCAUUCUUCUGUAGACUAUAUGAGAUGUGUCCGUCUUCGUCCGGCAUUGUUCUUUUUCGUGGUGUGCAGUGCAGGAGUGUAACCAGUUUUUAUUUACUUUUGUUCCUGGAAUCCUGGUAUGUACCGCGGUAACAAAAAUGUACGACUAAUCCCUAUCUAUCGAAGAACAAAACAAGCUAGUAAUUCUUGGAA